rnacentral:rRNA from 1 species
GAUGAACGCUGGCGGCGUGCCUAAUACAUGCAAGUCGAGCGAACGGACGAGAAGCUUGCUUCUCUGAUGUUAGCGGCGGACGGGUGAGUAACACGUGGAUAACCUACCUAUAAGACUGGGAUAACUUCGGGAAACCGGAGCUAAUACCGGAUAAUAUUUUGAACCGCAUGGUUCAAAAGUGAAAGACGGUCUUGCUGUCACUUAUAGAUGGAUCCGCGCUGCAUUAGCUAGUUGGUAAGGUAACGGCUUACCAAGGCAACGAUGCAUAGCCGACCUGAGAGGGUGAUCGGCCACACUGGAACUGAGACACGGUCCAGACUCCUACGGGAGGCAGCAGUAGGGAAUCUUCCGCAAUGGGCGAAAGCCUGACGGAGCAACGCCGCGUGAGUGAUGAAGGUCUUCGGAUCGUAGAACUCUGUUAUUAGGGAAGAACAUAUGUGUAAGUAACUGUGCACAUCUUGACGGUACCUAAUCAGAAAGCCACGGCUAACUACGUGCCAGCAGCCGCGGUAAUACGUAGGUGGCAAGCGUUAUCCGGAAUUAUUGGGCGUAAAGCGCGCGUAGGCGGUUUUUUAAGUCUGAUGUGAAAGCCCACGGCUCAACCGUGGAGGGUCAUUGGAAACUGGAAAACUUGAGUGCAGAAGAGGAAAGUGGAAUUCCAUGUGUAGCGGUGAAAUGCGCAGAGAUAUGGAGGAACACCAGUGGCGAAGGCGACUUUCUGGUCUGUAACUGACGCUGAUGUGCGAAAGCGUGGGGAUCAAACAGGAUUAGAUACCCUGGUAGUCCACGCCGUAAACGAUGAGUGCUAAGUGUUAGGGGGUUUCCGCCCCUUAGUGCUGCAGCUAACGCAUUAAGCACUCCGCCUGGGGAGUACGACCGCAAGGUUGAAACUCAAAGGAAUUGACGGGGACCCGCACAAGCGGUGGAGCAUGUGGUUUAAUUCGAAGCAACGCGAAGAACCUUACCAAAUCUUGACAUCCUUUGACAACUCUAGAGAUAGAGCUUUCCCCUUCGGGGGACAAAGUGACAGGUGGUGCAUGGUUGUCGUCAGCUCGUGUCGUGAGAUGUUGGGUUAAGUCCCGCAACGAGCGCAACCCUUAAGCUUAGUUGCCAUCAUUAAGUUGGGCACUCUAAGUUGACUGCCGGUGACAAACCGGAGGAAGGUGGGGAUGACGUCAAAUCAUCAUGCCCCUUAUGAUUUGGGCAACACACGUGCUACAAUGGACAAUACAAAGGGCAGCGAAACCGCGAGGCCAAGCAAAUCCCAUAAAGUUGUUCUCAGUUCGGAUUGUAGUCUGCAACUCGACUACAUGAAGCUGGAAUCGCUAGUAAUCGUAGAUCAGCAUGCUACGGUGAAUACGUUCCCGGGUCU